AUUGAACGCUGGCGGCAUGCCUUACACAUGCAAGUCGAACGGCAGCACGGGAGCAAUCCUGGUGGCGAGUGGCGAACGGGUGAGUAAUGUAUCGGAACGUACCUUUCAGUGGGGGAUAACGUAGCGAAAGCUACGCUAAUACCGCAUAUUCUGUGAGCAGGAAAGCAGGGGAUCGCAAGACCUUGCGCUGAUUGAGCGGCCGAUAUCAGAUUAGCUAGUUGGUGAGGUAAAGGCUCACCAAGGCGACGAUCUGUAGCGGGUCUGAGAGGAUGAUCCGCCACACUGGAACUGAGACACGGUCCAGACUCCUACGGGAGGCAGCAGUGGGGAAUUUUGGACAAUGGGCGCAAGCCUGAUCCAGCCAUGCCGCGUGAGUGAAGAAGGCC
rnacentral:rRNA from 1 species